UACGUAGGGUGCGAGCGUUGUCCGGAAUUACUGGGCGUAAAGAGCUCGUAGGUGGUUUGUCGCGUUGUUCGUGAAAACCGGGGGCUUAACCCUCGGCGUGCGGGCGAUACGGGCAGACUAGAGUGCGGUAGGGGAGAUUGGAAUUCCUGGUGUAGCGGUGGAAUGCGCAGAUAUCAGGAGGAACACCAAUGGCGAAGGCAGAUCUCUGGGCCGUAACUGACGCUGAGGAGCGAAAGCGUGGGGAGCGAACAGG
rnacentral:rRNA from 1 species